UGCAAGUCGAACGAGAAAGGCACCUUCGGGUGCUGAGUAAAGUGGCGCACGGGUGAGUAACGCGUGAACGACCUACCCUUGAGAGGGGGACAACCCGCCGAAAGGCGGGCUAAUACCGCAUGAAGCCGUGGCAUUGAGGUGCCAUGGUUAAAGAUGGGGACCUUCGGGCCUAUCGCUUAAGGAGGGGUUCGCGUCCGAUUAGCUAGUAGGUGGGGUAACGGCCCACCUAGGCGACGAUCGGUAGCUGGUCUGAGAGGAUGAUCAGCCACACUGGAACUGAGACACGGUCCAGACUCCUACGGGAGGCAGCAGUGGGGAAUUUUGCGCAAUGGGGGCAACCCUGACGCAGCGACGCCGCGUAGGUGAUGAAGCUUUUUGGAGUGUAAAACCUUGUCACCGGUGACGAAGUUCAUAUUCAGUAAUAUGGGAUAUGGAUUGACGGUAGCCGGAGAGGAAGCCCCGGCUAACUCCGUGCCAGCAGCCGCGGUAACACGGGGGGGGCGAGCGUUAUUCGGAAUUACUGGGCGUAAAGGGCGCGUAGGCGGUCCGUUAAGUGUGAAGUGAAAUGCCUGGGCUCAACCUGGGACGUGCUUUGCAUACUGGUGGACUUGAGUCCAAGAGGGGGUGGUGGAAUUCCUGGUGUAGGGGUGAAAUCCGUAGAUAUCAGGAGGAACACCGUUGGCGAAGGCGGCCACCUGGAUUGGUACUGACGCUGA
rnacentral:rRNA from 1 species